GAUGAACGCUAGCGGCAGGCCUAAUACAUGCAAGUCGAACGGUAAAUAUUUUAGCAAUAAGAUAUGAGAGUGACGUACGGGUGCGUAACACGUAUGCAACCUACCUUGUACAGGAGUAUAGCUCGGGGAAACUCGAAUUAACCCUUCAUAGUAUCAUUGGAUGGCAUCAUUUGGUGAUUAAAUCUUCGGAGGUACAAGAUGGGCAUGCGUCUGAUUAGUUAGUUGGCGGGGUAACGGCCCACCAAGACGAUGAUCAGUAGGGGAACUGAGAGGUUGAUCCCCCACACUGGCACUGAGAUACGGGCCAGACUCCUACGGGAGGCAGCAGUAGGGAAUAUUGGUCAAUGGAUGGAAGUCUGAACCAGCCAUGCCGCGUGCAGGAAGAAGGCCUUCUGGGUUGUAAACUGCUUUUUGCCAGGGGAUAAAAUGCUCGUGCGCGAGUUAUUGAAGGUACCUGGUGAAUAAGCCACGGCUAACUACGUGCCAGCAGCCGCGGUAAUACGUAGGUGGCAAGCGUUGUCCGGAUUUAUUGGGUUUAAAGGGUGCGUAGGCGGUCUAUUAAGUCAGUGGUGAAAUAUCGCAGCUUAACUGUGAGGGUGCCAUUGAUACUGAUGGAACUUGAGUGAAGUCGAAGUAGGCGGAAUUGACGGUGUAGCGGUGAAAUGCUUAGAUAUCGUCAAGAACACCGAUAGUGAAGACAGCUUACUAGGCUUAUACUGACGCUGAGGCACGAAAGUGUGGG
rnacentral:rRNA from 1 species